GUUCAAUCUGAAGGAGCUCGCAGUUACUCAUCUCUGCGCGGAUCGCUGCUGUCCGCCGGCAAAUUGAUCGUGUCAAAAAUUCCGGCUAUCGGCAGCGGAGAUUGAAUCCAAUCACCGUUUGACGGCGGAAGGCGAUAUUAAUUAGGAGGUGAAGGAGGAGAGAGAUCUGGGGUUUUCGAAAUUUAGAAAAUUUUGCGCUGGCUUUUCUUCCAGUUUAGAGAGAGAGAGAGAGUGGGAGAGAAAUAAAUUACGCAAAAUGUGGAAACUGCAGAGCGUCUAUUAAAAUAUGAAUAAUUUAUUGUUAAUCCACUUUAGCCCUUCAAUUAAACUCGAUAUAUAUUGCCUCUAGACUUUUGGUUCGAACAUAGGUAAAAAAACAAGAUGACACUCUCCGUCCCGCUUGAAAUGGUCCUAAAUUUUUCGACACGAAGAGUAAAGAAUGUAUGAUAAAAGUAUAAAGUGGUGAUGGGACCAUCCAAAAAAUAAUAUUAAAUAUUUCUAAAUUAGAUCAAGGAAUGUGUGAUAAAUGUGUAAAGUGAUGGUGAACCAUCCAAAAUAAAAAUAGGGUCAUUUGAAGCUGGGACGGAGGAAGUAAAAUUUAAAAGAGAAAAACAAGAGAGUUUGGUUUUGUAAAAUUCAACUCGUUAGAGAACCCAGUGUUGUGCCCAAAAAAUAACAGUUAUAACAUAAAAUUAAAAUAAACACAUAAUUGAUUUCAGUGUAAAGUAUAGACGAUGAUAGUAGAUAAUUUAUUUACAUUAAAGUUUUACAUGUAUUUAUAGGCAGAGAACUAAGAAUUCUAGUAAGACUUAUAAUAGGACUAUGAUUCUUCAUAUUUAUCCAUAUCUUCGUGAUAAUCUCCUUCUUUAUCGAAUAUUUGAUAGUCUUUGAGAUAGCUUCAAAUCCCGGAAAAUCAGGACUGCUAGACCGUGGACAGCGCUGUCUUAAUCUCUCGGUCUUCAAAGGAAGCAUAUUUUUGUCCUCAUCAACUACAAUUGAGUUUGUGAACUAAUUCAUAAAGUAAUAGAUAUAUUAAACUUACCAUUUAACAUAUUGUUUAAAAUUUCUUCUUAAUAUGAUACUAGAGUUGCCCUUUAUUGAUGCACAAUAACAAUUAUAGUUAAAAUAAGUAUAUAUAAAAUUAAAUUAGAAAAAAGUCUAAAUAUGACAUCAAAAUGGUAUAAAUUUUAUAAUUUUGAAUUUUAUACAAUAUUAAUAGUUAUAGUUAUAUUACAAAAUACUAUUAAUCCUUUAAUUUUAUUUUAUUUUCAAAAAUGCCACUAAUUCAAUUUAAAAUUGAUUUCAAAUUGAAUAUUAACUUUUUAAUACUUCCUCUGUCCAAAAAAAAAAAACAUUUUUGUCAUUUUGAGAUGUCCAUAAAAAUUAAUUUCUUUCUAUUUUUAUCUAUUACAUUGUGAACCAUAUUCUCCAUUCACAUUUCACAUUAAGAUUAGAGCCUUUAAAUUGAAUCAUGGGCACACAAGAAACUGAAUAAGAAAAGGAAGAAGAAUUCUUGAUUAAGAUCUAGGUUUUCUCCUUUCAAAAAAAAACAAAGAUCUAGGUUUUCUAAACGCAAAUACCAGGAGUACUAGUAUUUAAUUAGGAUAUAUAUGACAUAUAAUUUACUUUUAAAAUGAUGGAUGAUGAAGAUGUACAACGAACAAAUUAACAAAUUUAUUGAAAGAGCUACAUAAAAAUCAAAUACACGAAUACGAGGACCUACUAAAACAAAACAAAAAAAAUAUACUCCCUACUGUUACUUUUAGGCACAAAAAUUAAAAAAUAUGUAAUUAAUAGAUAAAAUAGAUUGAUAAAAAUAAUUUAAAUAUUAAGUAUAGAAAAAAAAUAUAUUGUCAAAAAAGAAAUAAUACAUUUAUAAUUGGGCAAAAGGAGUAGCAUAAAACAAGAUUUAAAUGUACAAUAACUUGCUAAUGCAUUUUACGUUUAAUAUAUUGAUAAAAGUAAUAAUUUAUCAUAUAUUUAUACUCCUAUUGAGUUUUUCCUAGAGUACUAAACCGAGUUGAAAUAAUGUGAAAAAAUAUACUCCCUCCGUCCCUGAAAUGGCUUCCUCUUUGGGGACGGCACGGGUUUUAAUAAAAAGUUGUAAAGUGUAUUGAUAGUGGAGAAAAAGUGAUAUAAUUAUUAUUGGAAGUUGUGAAAAGUGUUAUAAUUAGUAUUGGGAGUGGUGAAAAGUGAAAAGUAAGAAUAAAUAAAGUAUUAUUAGUGGUGGGGUAGGUGUCCAAAAAUGGAAAUAAAGAAAGAGGAAGUUAUUUGGGGAACGCCCCAAAAUGGAAAAAGAGGAAGUUAUUUUAGGGACGGAGGGAGUAUAUGUAUCCUUGUAAAAAAAAUAACUGAAAAAGAAGGCAAAAACUAGUCACACAACAAAUGCACUUGAGCAAUUACAGAAACCAACCAAACCAUCUAGGCAUGAAUGUUUUUCUACAGUCAAGCAAACAACUAACCAAAAAUAUUAAGCUCUUAUAAGUGACAUCCCUUCAAUGUCCUAAAAUUUGAACAUGCAGGCAACUGAUUUGAUAACUGAAUGUAGAAACACAAACACAUCAUCUCUUCAAAAGAUACCCCAACAAGAUCCCGAUCAAGCUAACGAUGAUGACAUACAUGAUGGGGACACCGCCAGCGCUUUUUUGACCUUGACCUUGACGUCUCACCAGCUCCUGCAUGCCAUAAGCAGAUGAUUAACUAAAAUGAUUCAAGGUAGAAUUUCUAUCCCUCAUGUGAAGCGUAAUAGAAAAAGCUAAUCUAUCCAAAGCUGAUCCGAAUCCUAGGAUCAUCGUGAAACAUUACAUUACAAUUCCGCUAAAUCUCAAUUAGAAAGUAAUGUCACGCUGAACUUGAAACUUACAGUAAAAGGAUGAAUUGAAGCUGACGUUCCACAAAUCAAAUUCUUUACUAAAAGAAACGCUGUUUGGCUAUAAGGAGGAUAUAUAACAAGCAACUACAAGAAAUCCGAUUUUUCACAAAACACAUAACUGAAAGAAGUCAGAAUUUGUUCAAUCCAUUUUCAGCCAACUUAUCCAUAUGUUCAUAAGAAUCUUCUUUUUUGUCUUAUUUAAAAAUUGAGUUGAGUUUUCAUGCGUUCAGUGAUUCUCACGAUCAAAUAGAUAUUUCUGUGAAUUUGAUUAGAUUAAUGGUAGGGACUUCUUGACGAUAUUGGCCAGUAAAUAAUGCUUAGCAUACAGCCUAAUAGAUUGCUGGUUCUAACAUUCAGGUUCGCCAAAUCAUGAUCAUGGGAUCACAAAGUGGAGGCCAAGUUCAUUUAAAAACAAUUCAAUUCAAAGCAGAAACCAAUUGGAACGUGGUGAUCAAAUAAAGCACAAAUCCACACUGCCAUAGUUGAACAAUAUAAACAUGUUUCUGAAUUUUUCAAGGUCUUCUAUCUCCAGUAGUCCAAAGUACACAACCAGAUAAGAAAAUAAAUCAUAUUAUAUUCUUAAUACUUCAUCGUUGACCUUCAAAAAAAGUCUUAGAAAUCAGACAUUUAAAUGAUUACCAGUUCUUGCUGAAGCCUGUUAUUUUGCUGAAUAGCAGAUUGUUUCUCCUCAGUCAGCUUCAAAAUGAGGGCCUUCACCUACAAACAAGUAAAAGACCAACGAUCAGCAAACAGAAUACCCUUACGACCUUAACUAGUGUCAGGACAAAGAUAUCAUGUAAAUCAAAUUCAGUAAACUCCUGAACUCCUAAAAACAGGAAGAUGACAGGUAAAACAAAAUAACAUAAAAGGGUCACUCCAGCUAGACCCACCUAAUACAAUUCUAAAAGAAGUGAUAGACACAAGAACCACGAACCCAAAUUACAUAACUAGUAACAAGACAUAUAGAGAAACAGAAAAUGAAUAAUAUAACCUCUGAUGUGACUUCAUUUGUUUCAGGGAAUCCUUUUGACAUCUGCAAAGUCACAAAGAAAUGAAAGAUUAUUGUUCUUUAAUCUUAUAUAUCAUCUUGGCUAGAUAAAAAUAUACUGACCACGUUCAAAUCAGAAGACUGAUUUACAGUCCCAUUCUCUGACACCGAUGCCCUUGGGGAGGAACCUUCCUCUGAACCCUCUCGCACUGGUGAAGGUGGUUGAGGGGGUGGAACAUAGGCUACUCUCAAUUUGCAUUCAUCUACUUGGUUCCCCGAGUCUUUGUUGAACUAAAUGCAGAUCAGGUAAAUAUAUUUAACAUCUUUGACAAAACAUUCACAGCCUUAACAAUCUUUGUUAUAAAACAUAUACUGCAUGCUGCAGAAAGAAUCAUAAAAUUACCAUUUCUGGAGUAAUAUCCUUUGCAGAUACCCCAGGGUUCACCACUACACUCUGGAGGAGAAACUUAUCCCUGCAUUGCAUAUCCGGUGGAGCCUCUUUUUGGGCUUGCAUGGUAACUGAAUGAAUGACCAAAGAAUUCCAGACUCACUCUUAUGUAAGGACGCAAUAACAAAAUAUCCUCUCAAAAACAUUUCCACCACCAAAAAGUAACUAAAUUUACAUAAACCGUAGUUGAAAUGUAAAUCUAUUUGUGGCCGCAUGCACAAACAUUUAGAGACAGAGAGAGAGGUGGGACGGAGAGGGAGACCUGUGACAUCACAACUAGAGUGUGGCAUCACGACUCCAGUGUUUGGCCUCACACAGUACUUCUUCGGAUUUGUUGUCUUCACCUGAAUAUAGAAGCAGAAACCCAAAAAGAAGGUAAUUCAGAUACUUCCGACUCAACAUCAAGGGCAUUUCUUACUUGUGUUUUCUUCAAAUUCACAAAACGAAUAAAACAUAAGUAAAACGUAAUCCUAAUCCAAAUGAAGGCCAUUAAGGAUACAAAACAGCUACCUUGAAUGCAACAUGAUUCUCAGACUUGUUCGUCAAUUGCAUCGAACAUGAGAUCUGCUUCUUCAAUUCGACUAUCACACGCCACAAAAUGCGAAACAUAUUAACCCAAGAACAUCAGAACCAGGAAUAAUCUAAAGUGUAGAUCUAAAAGAAUAAAAUUUAAAUCAGCCUCAGUCACCAUUUUCCCUAAAUCACGGAAUCUUCUAGAACUCAAUUGAACAAAAAAAAAAACUUCCCUCACACUAAGACAGACCUAAAUUCGAAACAGAAAUACAAGAGGCAUCUCACUUACAUGCGAAUUGAAGUUCGAGAGGUUCAAUUUCAAGGAGCUCGCAGGUACUCAUCUCUAAGCGGAUCGCUGCAGUCCGCCGGAUAACUGAUCGCGUUAAAGAUUCCGGCUGUCGGCGGCGGAGAUUGAAUCCAAUCACCGUUUCACGGCGGAAAGCGAUAUUAAUUAGGAGGCGAAGGAGGAGAGAGAUCUGGGGUUUUCGAAAUUUAGGAAAUUUUGUGCUGGCUUUUCUUCCGGUUUAGAGAGAGAGAGAGAGAGUGGAAGAGAAAUAAAUUACGCAAACGUGGAAAGUGCAAUGCGUCUAUUAAAAUAUGAAUAAUUUAAGAUUAAUUCCACUUUGGCCCUUCAAUUAAACUGCAUAUAUAUUGCUCUAGACUAUUCUAAGAGAGAGUUUGGUUCCAACAGGCAACAGGUAAAAAA
rnacentral:lncRNA from 1 species